rnacentral:rRNA from 1 species
AGCGAACGCUGGCGGCAGGCUAGCACAUGCAAGUCGAACGGCUCUUCGGAGCAGUGGCGGACGGGUGAGUAACGCGUGGGAACGUGCCCUUUGGUUCGGAACAACACAGGGAAACUUGUGCUAAUACCGGAUGAGCCCUUCGGGGGAAAGAUUUAUCGCCAUUGGAGCGGCCCGCGUUGGAUUAGGUAGUUGGUGGGGUAAAGGCCCACCAAGCCGACGAUCCAUAGCUGGUCUGAGAGGAUGAUCAGCCACACUGGGACUGAGACACGGCCCAGACUCCUACGGGAGGCAGCAGUGGGGAAUCUUGCGCAAUGGGCGAAAGCCUGACGCAGCCAUGCCGCGUGAAUGAUGAAGGUCUUAGGAUUGUAAAAUUCUUUCACCGGGGAAGAUAAUGACGGUACCCGGAGAAGAAGCCCCGGCUAACUUCGUGCCAGCAGCCGCGGUAAUACGAAGGGGGCUAGCGUUGCUCGGAAUUACUGGGCGUAAAGGGCGCGUAGGCGGACAGUUUAGUCAGAGGUAAAAGCCCAGGGCUCAACCUUGGAACUGCCUUUGAUACUGGCUGUCUUGAGUUCGGGAGAGGUGAGUGGAAUGCCGAGUGUAGAGGUGAAAUUCGUAGAUAUUCGGCGGAACACCAGUGGCGAAGGCGACUCACUGGCCCGAUACUGACGCUGAGGCGCGAAAGCGUGGGGAGCAAACAGGAUUAG